rfam:Ictidomys tridecemlineatus contig039489, whole genome shotgun sequence.
AAGGAUGUAGUUUAGUGGUAAAGCACUUGCCUAGCAUGCAAGAUGCCUUGGGUUUGAUUCCUAGCAAUGCUA